rnacentral:rRNA from 2 species
ACAAGGAUUCCUCUAGUAACGGCGAGCGAACGAGGAAAAGCCCAGCACCGAAUCCUGUAUCGUCUUGAUACUAGGAAAUGUGGUGUUUAGGCCGUGCUUUGUGCCGGUAUGACUCUCCUCAAGUCCACUUGAUUGUGGCUUCAGGCCCAGAGAGGGUGUAAGGCCCGUGGAGGCGAGUCGUCCGGUGCCCGGCACGUCCUUCGAGUCGGGUUGUUUGGGAAUGCAGCCCAAAGCGGGUGGUAAACUCCAUCCAAGGCUAAAUACUAGCACGAGUCCGAUAGCGAAGAAGUACCGCGAGGGAAAGUUGAAAAGAACUUUGAAGAGAGAGUUCAAGAGUACGUGAAACCGCUGAGAGGCAAACUGGUGGAGCUGAAAUGGUCUUGAGGAAUUCAGCCCUUCCUGCUAGAGUUGUCGUCGGUUGUGAGAUCUCACGACUCCGCCGGCGUUCAUCUUCGUGAAGGAUAGGUGCACUUUCUUCUUGAUCGGACCACGACCAGCGACUUGUCUUGUCUGGCAUAGGUGGAAGGUAGCGUUGACUUCGGUGAACGUAUUAUAGCCGCUUAUUCGGUAUGAGCAAGGCGUUGGAUGCGAUGUUGGCGCUUGCCCAUUGGGCUCGUACGUUGUCUCUUUCAGGCGUGUCGCCGGCUUCACUGCCUUUGGCAGGGGUGUUGGAGACGUGUCGGUUAGCGGCGGCCUCUGCGAUUGGCGUCGAAAGUCUGUGGUUAUGAAGUAGGCAGUCCACCUGACCCGUCUUGAAACACGGACCAAGGAGUCUAACAUGUGCGCGAGUCAUUGGGCAAUACGAAACCUAAAGGCGCAGUGAAAGUAAAGAUCCAUUUUGUUGGAUUGAGGUGGGAUCCUGAGUCACGUGCUCGGGCGCACUACCGGCCCGUUCGACAUGUCUUCAUGCGGGCGGAGCAAGAGCGUACACGUUGGGACCCGAAAGAUGGUGAACUAUGCUUGCGCAGGUCGAAGCCAGAGGAAACUCUGGUGGAGGACCGUAGCGAUU